GGCUCGUUGGUCUAGGGGCAUGAUUCUUGCUUUGGAUGUGAGAGGCCCCGCGUUCGAAUCCCGGACGAGCCC
rfam:Octopus bimaculoides Scaffold31258_contig_62, whole genome shotgun sequence.